UGUUAUUUUGGCAGAAUAGUGCAAUUGAUUUAGAAUCAUUUUAUGUAUGUUAUACAAAUAAU
rnacentral:tRNA from 1 species